CGCUGCUAUGAUACCCUCCCUGUGGGCUCUUUCCGCGCUUCUUUGAGGAAGUGGUCUCGGAUCCCCAAUCGCCCCUAUUUAAAGUCAGUAAUAUAUUGCUGCCUUUAUCUGUGCGUGGGACGUACGCUUACCCCCAAACGGCUCGCUUUAAAGAAUUGAAGGUUUCUCUGGAUCUUUCGUCCCCGUCGUCUGGAAAUCUCUCCUCCUCGGACUCCGCCGAUCUCCGCCUCCCGUCGGGGUUCGCUGGCGGAGCUCGACUCCAAGAAACGUCGAACGGGUACAGACGACUCCAACGUGCACCCGUACGUUCGUAUAUCUCGCUCUCGAGCACCGAACGGUUGAUGGAUAAAGAAGCGAAGGGACGGAAGGCGAAAAGAAAAUGUCACAGGAAAGAGAGAGAGACAGUUGCGUGCAGGUGGUUUGGGACGUGCGGGUUUUGAGGUUGAGAAAGGUGUGGCUGAAUGGAUCUGAAUGCAUGUUACUGACGCUUUCAUGUUGCUUGAAAGAUCAGUAGGUGAGUUUCGUGUAGCUGUCAUCAGCAACUAUUCAGAUACUAUGAGAAGACAUGUCUCCACAUAUGCAAGUAAUGUUCUCAAACCGACAUACCGGUCAUAUUAUUAUUCGUCCUAGUUGGAAGUUUGCUUUACAAAGUAACAGUUCCUUGGAUCAUGUCACACCACAUAUAAGCGAUUGCUGAAUAUUGUUCUCUCUUGCUCAUACAUUGAUGUUAUUGCUGAUAACAAGCCAUAGAAGCCUUGGCAACUAGGUCGAUGGUCUCUAAAGAUGAUGCAUACUGAUCACUGUCAUCUUCUUAAUGCAUUUGAAAUCUGUUGCAAGCAUUGAUUAUGUUC